GAGUUUGAUCAUGGCUCAGGAUGAACGCUGGCGGCGUGCCUAAUACAUGCAAGUCGAGCGAACGGACGAGAAGCUUGCUUCUCUGAUGUUAGCGGCGGACGGGUGAGUAACACGUGGAUAACCCUACCUAUAAGACUGGGAUAACUUCGGGAAACCGGAGCGUAAUACCGGGAUAAUAUUUUGAACCGCGAUGGUUCAAAAGUGAAAGACGGUCUUGCUGUCACUUAUAGAUGGAUCCG
rnacentral:rRNA from 1 species